UACGUAGGUGGCAAGCGUUGUCCGGAAUUAUUGGGCGUAAAGAGCUCGUAGGCGGUCUGUUACGUCUGCUGUGAAAACCCGGGGCUUAACCCUGGGCUUGCAGUGGAUACGGGCAGACUAGAGGCAGGUAGGGGAGAAUGGAAUUCCCGGUGUAGCGGUGAAAUGCGCAGAUAUCGGGAGGAACACCGGUGGCGAAGGCGGUUCUCUGGGCCUGACCUGACGCUGAGGAGCGAAAGCGUGGGGAGCGAACAGG
rnacentral:rRNA from 1 species